AAUACACAACCUUGAACACUACGACAGAGUGCUGUGUUACGUGUUCCGUAUAUCUAAUGGAGUAGUGAACUUUUGGAUCGGGGCCAGGAGAGGGAGCCAUGGAUUUUAUUGGGUUGAUGGAAGUGGACGCAUGACGUUCAGCAGAUGGGCGAGAUGGCAACCAGACAACUCGUUUUUCAGGGAGCACUGUGUCGAGAUGAAUUACAGGAGUUGGGGACGUUGGAACGAUGAAUACUGCUAUAUCAGGAGAGUCUUUAUGUGUGCCAAAAACAUGUGAUCAUCAUCAGUAAUGUUUGAUUCACAAGAUGAUCUUUUAAAAUGUGCUGCAGCUGGACUUGUUUCAUGAUAACC